AUGAAUGUGUGUGUAUAUAUUUAUACAUAAUAAUUAGACACAGCACACACUCAUAUAUUAUACCAAUAAUCACUUUUAUUUUGUAUGCGAUUAAUCGCGAUUAAUCUUUGCCCAGCACCAUUUCAAAUAUAAAUUUUAAGAAUACCCUUAAUAAUAUAAUAACAUACAACCUUUUAUCUGCUUUCUUUAUGGUUCCACAGACAGCUCCCUCAGCAUUUUGUAUGCAAAACAUGCCCAUGCGGGCCCACUGUGAGGUAUAUUGUGGGACAGUGUGGGCAAGGCAAACUCACACCACAUCCCAAAUGGGCCCCCAAAUUAUCAUUGUUUGUUAUUAUCUUAGCAGAUAAUUUUCUUUUGAUGUUUGUUGUUGUUGUUUAAUCAAAAACCAGUUACUACACUUUUAUUAUAAUAAAACCAUUUUUUUAUUUUUAUUUUUUUAUAAAGCUCUGUCCAUUUAGAACAAAAUGUGCAUGCAUGUUUAUGAAAUAAUUGAACCCACCCCCGGGUGAAGAUCUAAAAAGCUAUGUUUUAAAAGCACAAUAUUUCUGUUUAUUUUAAUACAAGAAAUGUUUAUUGUUAAACAAGUUCUAAUUUUCAGUUCAGUCUGGACGUGGGACAUCUUUUUUACCAUCUUUAUUGUUCUUUAACAUGUUGUCUUUUGUUAUGUGUUAUUAGCGAGGGGCAACCUUCCGAUCUCUCUAAUGAAGCCAACACGGAAGUGAUUUAAACUGCAAUUCAUCGACUGGCUCCAAAAGGGAGUCAAUUCCCAUAGACUCCCAUGUUAAAAAUUGCCAACUUUACAGUAGAAAAUAAUAUGUUUACAGCCUGGUACAAAAAGUGUUUUUGGCCUAUAUAGCUAAUUUUGCCCGUCAUGACAACUGUGAGGGGGGUGAAUGUUUUUGUAACUCAUCCGUUUAAAUUAUAUUAAGCCUUAAACUUCUGCAUAAUUAAGGGCGUGGCCGCUUGAGUGUCGGUUGAACAGCCACUGCUGUCACUAGACUCGCGCUAGGCGGGCGUGGUUUCACCUCAGCUUCACCCAUAUCCCGCCUCUUUACGUCAAUGUAUCGCGAGAGCGAGUCAAGAAAUUACACUCUCGCGGUACAAUGACGUUUGCCUGUCAGCGCAGCAAGAAGUCGAACACACGUAUUUGCGUGCGCGCGCCUCGGUCCUUGUGAGUUCAAAGUGGAUUUUAACCGUUUACCUCAGACGACAGUUUUCAUUUCUAUGGUAAAUUCUAAGGUCAUUUUCUUGUUGUGUUGUGAUGUGUUCCAUUGGCUGAAGAGCAGAUUACCAUGCAAUUUGAUGAAGUGUGAUAAAAUACACAGAGGUGAAGUCACGUGUCUUUCCAGAUGCCCAAAUCUGUACCACUCAAAAGCCUGAAGAGGAGAUUUGGGAAGAUGCUGUUUCAUAAGUCUUUGCUUUGCCAGAUCACCUGUGGUAAGUCGGGAUGUCUGCUAACAUGAUGCCUUGUUGGUCUGGGCGAGUUUGAAGUCUCUCACAGACAGUCCAGAAGGUCUGGAGUCCAUGUUAGCUUUUAUUGAUUAACUACAUACGGUCCCUUGGGGGAGCCAACCCAGGUGAAGUCCACUGAAGUCCCGAUUGCCUACAGCAUGAAAUGGAGGAAGGAAUCAACACAGAAAAACUACAAGGCAUUAAAGGCCCUUGACGUGGAAGACUUAAUUGCAUUAGCCCUGAAAUUUGCCCCACACAGAAAUUUAAAAUGAUGGCAGAGAUUGCUGUGGAGUUCUGAAGUUCAUUUUUUAAAUGUUUUCAUUUUUAAUAUAUUAAAAUGUUUUUUAUGAUACAAUGUUCUACAUGUUUAUUGCCAAUUUUAUGUGUUAUAUAAGCAAAUUAUCUACCCUAUUAUAUUAUUAUCUAAGUCUAUAAAUUCUAUAAAUGAUCCUGUGAUUAAUGAUUUUGAUUUUAUGUCUACGAAUAAAGAAUCCAUGGAUCAACA